CUCAUCAAACACAUAAUCUCCCAAAUAUUCCUAUGGGUCUUAUUAACAAACAAUAUACUCUUCAUGUGAAAUAAAACAAUCAUUACCAUUCGCAUAUGCCCUUCAAGAAACCUAGAAAAAUUCAACCAAGAACAAAAACAUAUCAACAUCCUCAAAAUUACCAAACAUUGAGAUUUCCAUAGAUUAUAAUAAUAUUUAUGAAACAACACAAACAUGACCCAAGAGAUUACAAUCACUGAAACAACAAGAGAUUGGGGAAAAAUUAUGGGCCUGAUUGGUAUCCUUUUGGGAUCCAAUUUUUUGAUUUUGAAAAUAUAAAAUUUGUGGGAACCAUAAAAAUAAUUGAUUGGUAGGUUGUUUCUGAAAACUAAAUCCUGAUCUUAAUCCGAAUUUUCUGUUGUAAAAUAGGAAACGCAAAAAUAACGUUUUCUGCAUAUUGUAAAAUUUCUUUCCAAAAUCCAUAAAACCAAAUCAUUUUCUUCUUUUUCUCUCCACCUCUUCCUCUCAUCUUUUUCUCUCUACCUCUUCCUCUCAUCAUUUCGACAAAAGCAGGCCCCCUUUCUGCCGUCAACGAUCGAAGAAGAAGAAAACUUGGGAUAUGUCAGGUAUGGAGAAGCAUGUUUCACUGGUGUUGGAGAAGCUUUGGGCAACCCUCCACCAGAUUCCCCCACUUUUGAUUCCUCUGAGCAUAUCUAUAUCUCAUCCCUCGCCCUUCUCAAAAUGCUCAAACACGAUACAAUUGUGAAGUUGAGGCUUUCUGAAAUGACUUGUCAACAAGGGAUUACCCAAGAAACAACAGACGUCCACAACUUUCACUCAACUCAGUUGUUCAACUCAACAACCCUUAGACGACACAGACUUGUGAAUGUUGUGAGCAAUGAAAUUUAUCUACUUGGUUUAUUAAACUUUUAAUAUUACUUUUUUGUUUUGUUUUUGGGUUCUCCUUCAUUUUUGUAGCUUAGCAUGGUACCAAGAUUGUCUUCCUUUGCUUUUCUAUCGCUCUGUUUGUUUGGUUGCUGAGAAAAAUAUCUUAGUGAAAACGACUCUUUUUGUGGGACUUUGAUUUGUAAUGGUAGUUAAUCACUUAUUUAUUGUGAUGUGGGAUUUUUUCAAGAUCUUCUUUUUCUUUUUUGAAUUUUUAUUUUUGAAACAUUUCAAACUUGGACCUGGGCGGGUUGGUUUGGUAAUAAAUGAGAAGCUUUAUGCUUUCUGACUAUUAAAGGGAAAAAAAGUUGGGAUCUUUUAUUUUAUUUUUCAAGAUUAGGAAUAACAGUACCAAAAGCUUAUGCUAAACACUGCUGCUAGGGGCAAUUGAUGAAAUAAAAAUUAAAAUGAUGAUGCUCCUAAAUUUAGUGUUUUUUCUUUUAUUUCCAUAGACUUGUAGCAGAUUUGUGGAUCAGAUCAGCCAUUAUUAUAUGUUCUGUUUGUUUGAUUAGUCCUGGGCUUUGAUCAAAUUUAAGGUUUGGUUUUAAUAACUUGGGGUUUUCAGUUCCAGUUAUGAUCUUUUAGAAGGUAGUGCUGACUGAGCAGCUCUUAGCUAUGCUUUAAAUGGUGCUAAUUGAGUUUGAAUUUAUGUUCUAUGUCAACUUUUAGGAUCUAAAAUAGGUGCUUGAAGAUGACAUCCAAGUCCUUCAAGGCGAGCCGAUCAAAUGUAUCGUGGAGUUUUGAUAUGCUUGAUGGGAAGCCACCAUUGCCUCCACAGGUGACAUUUGCACAGAGAACAUCCUCAGGCCGCUAUGUUAGCUACUCAAGGGAUGAUCUUGAUAGUGAACUUGGGAGCCAAGACUUUAUGAACUAUACAGUCCACAUACCUCCCACCUCGGACAACCAGCCCAUAGAUCCAUCAAUCUCACAGAAGGUUGAAGAGCAAUACGUGUCCAAUUCCCUAUUUACAGGCGGGUUCAACAGUGUUACCUGAGCUCAUCUUAUGGACAAGGUGAUUGAAUCUGAAGCAAACCAUCCUCAGAUGGCUGGAGCAAAGGGUUCUUCCUGUGCAAUUCCUGGCUGUGAUGCCAAAGUGAUGAGUGAUGAACAUGGUGCUUUAAUUAUAUACCUAUUUUAUUGUAUUUAAUUUUUACUUGUAAACAUUUAUAAGGAUUAUUUGUAUACAAAUUUUACUAGUUUUGUAAUUUGUAUGCAUAUUGCAUAUGGCUCCACCUGGUUUUGAACAACCGCUUGUAAUAUACUAAUAUGUGAUUUUGAUGUCUAGUGUUUUAUAUUAUUAAUUUUAUUGA